GCACCGGCUAACUCCGUGCCAGCAGCGCGGUAAUACGGAGGGUGCGAGCGUUAAUCGGAAUUACUGGCGUAAAGACGCAUGCAGGUGGUUUGUUUAAGGUUCAGAUGUGAAAGACCCGGGGCGUCAACCUCGGAACUGCAUUUGUAAACUAGGCAGACUAGAGUACUGUAGAGGGGGGUAGGGAAUUUCUAGGUGUAGCGGUGAAAUAGCGUAGAGAUCUGAAGGAAUACCGGUGGCGAAGGCGGCCCCCUCGGACAGAUACUGACACUCAGAUGCGAAAGCGUGGGGAGCAAACAGGAUUAGAUACCCUGGUAG
rnacentral:rRNA from 1 species